AGCACAGCCCCCUAGGGGCUGCCCUUGCUGUGUGGCGCCACCGGCGGUGGAGAACAAGGCUCUAUUCAGCCUGUGCCCAGGAAAGGGGAUCAGGGGAUGCCCAGGCAUGGACAGUGGGUGGCAGGGGGGGAGAGGAGGGCUGUCUGCUUCCCAGAAGUCCAAGGACACAAAUGGGCUGGAGUGGCGCAAACACAGCUCACUGCAGCCUCAACCUACUGGGCUCAAGCAAUCCUCCAGCCUCAGCCUCCCAAAGUGCUGGGAUUACAAGCAUGAGCCACCCCACUCAGCCCUUUCCUUCCUUUUUAAUUGAUGCAUAAUAAUUGAGCGAGCAGAGCCAGAGCAGGAUGGAGAGGAGACGCAUCACCUCCGC
rnacentral:lncRNA from 1 species